GAAACUCUCUUCCAACUUUCAAGCAUAUUCCACGGAAACCAGUUCAACAGUUCAUUGAUGUCUGGAAAUGUGAACUGGCAGAAGUAGGGAAGCUGAUUCCACAGCAGAAGAUGAAGCUCAUCAUGAAUCACUGCUGUCCGUUUGUAUAGAGUCAACAUCCUUGGUCUGACUGAAGACUACAUGGCAUAUAGAAAAAUAUGACAUUGUCAGGUAGAUUGGUUGAAAAUACGGUGUCCUGAUGAAUUGUAGAAUGUUUCCGAAUAAGUCUCCUGACUAAAGCAUAUACUUGUCGUGAAUGUACAAUGUACAUGUAUUUUGUAUUUAUAUGUAGCACAAUAAGUCUGCUAAUACUAUGUGUUAUGUGAGUUUGCUUCUCCAUUUGGAGUACAGCAUAUACCUGUAUUUUUCGACAGUUUGAUAUGCAAUUAAAAAAAAAACUGAUCAAAACUAAACUACACCUGAUAACUCUAUUGUUUCAAAUUUCUUUUGUGUGCAGUGUGUCCUAAAUAUAGGUUCAUAUUUCGAUGAUGCCUGAAAAAUAUACAUCCUUGAAUCUGUACAUUUGCAAUCACUGUAUAUAUGUAAAAGUUUGGGACCGAAUCUGUAAGCAGCUAGACCUACAUUUGUGUAUAUAGCUACAGUACGAUGUGAACUAGGCAGGAUUGUCUUGAGGAAGGUGACAGGCGUUUAGACGUUUACCGAAAUGUUGGUGUGAAAUAAAGAAAAAGUUGACUUGUUAA